CCCAGUUAACUAACUUACCAUUACGGGAAAAAAAAAAUACCAGCAUAAUUACAAGACAAAUGCAAGGAAACACGCUUAAGUCCCUAAGUGAAUAAAUAACAUUAAUACACUUUUUGAUACCCUGGAAAAGUACAAUAACCAAAAAAGGGGAUCGACCAACUCUUAAACUAAAAUAAAGAAAACCAAUUAUCAUCGUCACCUUGAAUAAAUUCUUCUAAUUUUCUGGUUUAUCACUAAAUUCUCUAAUAAAAUAAAACCUCUAAGAUCACCAAUACAAUUCAAACAAACUCAAUUCGUAACCCAAUUACAAAAUGAAGAAUGAACCAACUGAUAGCAAAAAUAUUACAACAAGGUCAUCCCAGGUUUCAAAAUCACCAAUAAUUAAUUUUUAAAAAAAAAACUCUUGCCUGCUAAUUCGAAACAGAACCUCUUCUCCCUUUGCCGCUUCUUCUUUGCUUUUAU
rnacentral:lncRNA from 1 species